UACAGGAUUCCCCUAGUACGGCGAGUGAAGCGGGAAGAGCUCAAAUUUGAAAUCUGGCAGUCUUCGAUUGUCCGAGUUGUAAUCUAUAGAGGCGUUUUCCGUGCCGGACCGUGUCCAAGUCUCCUGGAAAGGAGUAUCAAAGAGGGUGAUAAUCCCGUACUUAACACGACCACCGGUGCUCUGUGAUACGUCUUCUACGAGUCGAGUUGUUUGGGAAUGCAGCUCAAAAUGGGUGGUGAAUUCCAUCUAAAGCUAAAUAUUGGCGAGAGACCGAUAGCGAACAAGUACCGUGAGGGAAAGAUGAAAAGCACUUUGGAAAGAGAGUUAAACAGUACGUGAAAUUGUUGAAAGGGAAACGAUUGAAGUCAGUCGUGUUCUUUGGAUUCAGCCAGUUCUGCUGGUCUACUUCCUUUGAACGGGUCAACAUCAGUUUUGUCCGGUGGAUAAAGGCAGUAGGAAUGUAGCUUCUCCGGAAGUGUUAUAGCCUAUUGUCACAUACACUGGGUGAGACUGAGGACUGCAGCUCGCCUUUAUGGCCGACCUUCGGGUACGUUCGAGCUUAGGAUGUUGACAUAAUGGCUUUAAACGACCGCGNGNAAAANCCCGGACNA
rnacentral:rRNA from 1 species